GGAUUUUGUUGAGUCCACAGUCCACGGAUUCGCUUUUGUGAUUCACAAAGGUGGACUCGACCGAAUCCACGGAUUCUACCAAGUCCAUUACGUCACGAUUUCGAGUCAACUGUUUGGGGUGGUCUGAAACAGUGGACUCCACAGAAUCCGUGGAUUCUAGGCGUAAUUGGCCAAUCACAGCGCAGCAUUUGGGUAUAUCUUUGUGCAGACAACAACCGCUGGACGAUGAUUUUGCAGCAAAAUUUAAGGUGGAAGACUGGACGUGAAAGUGGUGGAAAAAUACAUGCUGGACCGAGCUCCGAGAAAAUUAACAAAAAAUGGCAGAAAAUCACCGUGCUCAUGUAAUGCAUCUUGAUCGUGUCAACAGCCUCAGAGGGAUAACCAGCAGGCCCAGACCCUGAUGGGAUUACAGAAAUGAAUGAAUCCUUUUGAGUUGUACAUGGAUGAAGCCUUUCGAAUGUGGUAUCGCUUCUCAAAAGAGACUGCACUCCAUCUCAUCAAUAUGUGUGAGGGUGAUCUGAGCUGAGGAAUACAGAAUGUAGUGAACCUCUACCUGUUGUCAUAGGUGUCAUCGAUGGGACUCAUGUCUACAUUAGGAGUCCUGGUGGGGAACAAGCCCUGUACUUCCUUAAUCGGAAGAACAGGUAUUCCGUCAGUGUGCAGAUUGCAUUUUUAAUAUAAAUGUAGACUCUGUUAUGCCAGUCUGAACUUUUGGGGAAGGGUCGAUAAUGUGACUUGUACUCCUAUCAUCAUCCAAUGUCACUAAAGUAUAAUAGCGAUCAUUGACUAUUUCUAAGCAUUGAAAUUUAGAUUGCUUUAUUUAGCACCCUCUCUUUGUAAUGUGCUGUACAGUACUUAUUUGUCCUUUAACCCUUUAUAGCCGGGGGGGGGGGGCCUAAAAGGCCCCUCGACAUAUUUCGCGAUAAUUUCUAAAUGCAAAAAAAUAAUACGCUGAAAUUUCAUGACUUUUUUCUUUCACAUCUCCGGCACAUUUUGAGACCGUUUGUGAAAAUGGGGGGUACACUUGCGGAGAUAUAGCACAUAUUCGUAACCAAUGUCACCGAAAAUGGCAAUUUCCAUUGACUUUUGUGUGUACAAUGUAUGGGUUUUACAAUAAGUGUUGUCAGAUGAAUGUUUUUUUCUGUUUUUCCUCACAUAAGUUUCUUUUGGGCUAUCACCAAUUAUUCUAGAUUAAAAAAACAAUACAAAGUAGAGAUUUCAAAACAAAGAAAUACAUAAUAAAUUAAAAACAAAGAAAUACAUAAGAAUUAGGAAACACGGA